AAAUAAAAUAAAUAAUAAAAUAAAUAAUAAAAAUGAAAAAUGAUAAGCGAGUAGCAAAUAAUUUGUUUUCUAUAAUGUUGAUGGGUACAGUGAAGUUGUCAUCAGAUCUAAGGAUUUGUAAGCGAACCGAGGUAAGUAACUCUAAUACAAUCUUAUUGAUUUCAAAUCAUUGUUUAAUUAUAAGUACAAAAUUAUGAAAUUAUAUUUAAAAUUUGAAUCAAGCAUAUGAUUGUAUGUGAUUCAUAAAUUUGAUUGGGUAUGAAUUAUGAUUAUGAUAGAUUGCAUAGAAAUAAGAUUUGUGGCAUGAUCAUGGAUUUUAUAAAUUACGAUGCCAUUUGUCAUUUUUCAACCUAUUAUGAAAGUAUGAUUUAUGAAAAAGAAUAAUGAAUUAUGAACUCUUAGAUUGCUAUGUACGACUCUUACCAGCGGAUUAUAAUAGCUUGGCAUACGGCCCUCACCAGUAGGUUGUAAUAGCUCGGCAUACGCCAGCGAGUUAUAGUAGCACGACAUAUAACCCUCGCCAGUAGGUUAUAAUAGCUUGGUGUAGACCCUGCCAAUGGAGAAUAAUAGUUGGCAAAGAUUAUGGCCCUAGCCAGCGGGUUAUAAUAGCUCGGCAUACGGCCCUCCC
rnacentral:lncRNA from 1 species